rnacentral:tRNA from 1 species
AAGGCCUAAGGACUACAUAGCCCACUAUCCGAUUUGCACUCAGACAACUUAUUUCAAGCCU